rnacentral:rRNA from 1 species
CCUACGGGUGGCAGCAGUGAGGAAUAUUGGUCAAUGGACGAGAGUCUGAACCAGCCAAGUAGCGUGAAGGAUGACUGCCCUAUGGGUUGUAAACUUCUUUUAUAUGGGAAUAAAAUGUUCCACGUGUGGGAUUUUGUAUGUACCAUACGAAUAAGGAUCGGUUAACUCCGUGCCAGCAGCCGCGGUAAUACGGAGGCUCCGAGCGUUAUCCGGGUUUGUUGGGUUUAAAGGGAGCGUAGGUGGAUUGUUAAGUCAGUUGUGAAAGUUUUCGGCUCAACCGUAAAAUUGCAGUUGAAACUGGCAGUCUUGAGUACAGUAGAGGUGAGCGGAAUUCGUGGUGUAGCGGUGAAAUGCUUAGAUAUCACGAAGAACUCCGAUUGCGAAGGCAGUUCACUGGACUGCAACUGACACUGAGGCACGAAAGUGUGGGUAUCAAACAGGAUUAGAUACCCGUGUAGUC